rnacentral:rRNA from 1 species
GGGUUGUGAGGUUAAGCGACUAAGCGUACACGGUGGAUGCCCUGGCAGUCAGAGGCGAUGAAGGGCGUGCUAAUCUGCGAUAAGCGCCGGUAAGGUGAUAUGAACCGUUAUAACCGGCGAUACCCGAAUGGGGAAACCCAGUGUGACUCGUCACACUAUCAUUAACUGAAUCCAUAGGUUAAUGAGGCGAACCGGGGGAACUGAAACAUCUAAGUACCCCGAGGAAAAGAAAUCAACCGAGAUUCCCCCAGUAGCGGCGAGCGAACGGGGAGGAGCCCAGAGCCUGAAUCAGCAUGUGUGUUAGUGGAAGCGUCUGGAAAGGCGCGCGAUACAGGGUGACAGCCCCGUACACAAAAGCGCAUGUGCUGUGAGCUCGAUGAGUAGGGCGGGACACGUGGUAUCCUGUCUGAAUAUGGGGGGACCAUCCUCCAAGGCUAAAUACUCCUGACUGACCGAUAGUGAACCAGUACCGUGAGGGAAAGGCGAAAAGAACCCCGGCGAGGGGAGUGAAAAAGAACCUGAAACCGUGUACGUACAAGCAGUGGGAGCACCCUUUGGGGUGUGACUGCGUACCUUUUGUAUAAUGGGUCAGCGACUUAUAUUCUGUAGCAAGGUUAACCGAAUAGGGGAGCCGGAGGGAAACCGAGUCUUAAUUGGGCGUUAAGUUGCAGGGUAUAGACCCGAAACCCGGUGAUCUAGCCAUGGGCAGGUUGAAGGUUGGGUAACACUAACUGGAGGACCGAACCGACUAAUGUUGAAAAAUUAGCGGAUGACCUGUGGCUGGGGGUGAAAGGCCAAUCAAACCGGGAGAUAGCUGGUUCUCCCCGAAAGCUAUUUAGGUAGCGCCUCGUGAAUUCAUCUCCGGGGGUAGAGCACUGUUUCGGCUAGGGGGCCAUCCCGGCUUACCAACCCGAUGCAAACUGCGAAUACCGGAGAAUGUUAUCACGGGAGACACACGGCGGGUGCUAACGUCCGUCGUGAAGAGGGAAACAACCCAGACCGCCAGCUAAGGUCCCAAAGUCAUGGUUAAGUGGGAAACGAUGUGGGAAGGCCCAGACAGCCAGGAUGUUGGCUUAGAAGCAGCCAUCAUUUAAAGAAAGCGUAAUAGCUCACUGGUCGAGUCGGCCUGCGCGGAAGAUGUAACGGGGCUAAACCAUGCACCGAAGCUGCGGCAGCGACGCUGAUGCGUUGUUGGGUAGGGGAGCGUUCUGUAAGCCUGCGAAGGUGGCCUGUGAGGGUUGCUGGAGGUAUCAGAAGUGCGAAUGCUGACAUAAGUAACGAUAAAGCGGGUGAAAAGCCCGCUCGCCGGAAGACCAAGGGUUCCUGUCCAACGUUAAUCGGGGCAGGGUGAGUCGACCCCUAAGGC